UUGGUAGGGAAUCAACUUGAUAGUAUGCGGGUUUACUCGUGUCCUUUCUGGUGCACUUCCUUACUUGCAGGUUAGCAUCAAUUUCGGUUAUCAUAUAAAAAUUGAGGGAAGGUGGCUUUUCUUCGGAAAAGUGUUAUAGACCUCGAUAAAUGUGGUGAUUGGGAUUGAGGAUUGCAGCGGAUACCCUUUGGGCUAGUCACCUGGCUUCUGAUGGUUGCCCCGUCUUCGAUAGCUUGCUAACGUUGGUGGGAUUCGAUUAUCUAGAUGUUGGAGUGA
rnacentral:rRNA from 1 species